rfam:Brachypodium distachyon strain Bd21 chromosome 1, whole genome shotgun sequence.
CUAGUACUCCCUCCGUCCAACAAAGGAGGUCUCAACUUUGAUUAAAUUUGAAUGCAUCUAUACAUUAAGUUAUGUCUACAUACAUCCAAAUUUUAACAAACUUGAGACAUCUUUUGUUGGACGGAGGGAGUACUAC